rnacentral:rRNA from 1 species
AUUGAACGCUGGCGGCGUGCCUAAUACAUGCAAGUCGAACGAGUGGCGGACGGGUGAGUAACACGUGGGAACCUACCCAUCAGAGGGGGAUAACACUUGGAAAACGGUGCUAAUACCGCAUACUGAUGGAUGGACCCGCGGUGCAUUAGCUAGUUGGUGGGGUAAAGGCCUACCAAGGCGACGAUCCGUAACUGGUCUGAGAGGAUGAUCAGCCACACUGGGACUGAGACACGGCCCAGACUCCUACGGGAGGCAGCAGUGGGGAAUAUUGCACAAUGGGCGCAAGCCUGAUGCAGCCAUGCCGCGUGUAUGAAGAAGGCCUUCGGGUUGUAAAGUACUUUCAGUCGGGAGGCGUUACCGACAGAAGAAGCACCGGCUAACUCCGUGCCAGCCGCCGCGGUAAUUC